AGUGAACGCUGGCGGUAGGCCUAACACAUGCAAGUCGAACGGCAGCACAGUAAGAGCUUGCUCUUACGGGUGGCGAGUGGCGGACGGGUGAGGAAUACAUCGGAAUCUACUUUUUCGUGGGGGAUAACGUAGGGAAACUUACGCUAAUACCGCAUACGACCUACGGGUGAAAGCAGGGGAUCUUCGGACCUUGCGCGAUUGAAUGAGCCGAUGUCGGAUUAGCUAGUUGGCGGGGUAAAGGCCCACCAAGGAGACGAUCCGUAGCUGGUCUGAGAGGAUGAUCAGCCACACUGGAACUGGGACACGGUCCAGACUCCUACGGGAGGCAGCAGUGGGGAAUAUUGGACAAUGGGCGCAAGCCUGAUCCAGCCAUACCGCGUGGGUGAAGAAGGCCUUCGGGUUGUAAAGCCCUUUUGUUGGGAAAGAAAAGCAGCAGGUUAAUACCCCGCUGUUCUGACGGUACCCAAAGAAUAAGCACCGGCUAACUUCGUG
rnacentral:rRNA from 1 species